ACCAGAUUAGUGGCAUAGAGAUGACAAUGGCAUAAUCAAAAGACGACAAUUAUCUACCUCCUAUUAAAGAAGGGAUCUCAAUAAGAAUUAUAACCAUAGAUACAUCAAAUACUUGAGAUCAUUCCAAGUUUGAUAACAUAAGUUGUAUAAGAUACACAUUGUCCAGCAGAGUGUAAUACAAGUUUGAUCUUGUGACUCAAUUAUUAAACACUCAUUUCUUCCCACUUUUCUUCAGUCCUGCUCCACCGAAUGACCCCUUCUGUGAUGUUUUUACCUUCAGCUCUUUUAGUGCCUGCGCAUAACCAAAUGUCAAGUUCACAUUAUAGGAGGAAAGAUAACACUCUAGUUGUUGUAAUAAUUUAUGUAAUGAAAUCAAAGCUAACAUUUUCUUCAUCUUUCUUCUU
rnacentral:lncRNA from 1 species